rnacentral:piRNA from 1 species
UAGUCAUUUUCUACUCUGUACAUAGUGCUA